GACGAACGCUGGCGGCGUGCUUAACACAUGCAAGUCGAACGGAAAGGCCCUGCUUUUGUGGGGUGCUCGAGUGGCGAACGGGUGAGUAACACGUGAGUAACCUGCCCUUGACUUUGGGAUAACUUCAGGAAACUGGGGCUAAUACCGGAUAGGAGCUCCUGCUGCAUGGUGGGGGUUGGAAAGUUUCGGCGGUUGGGGAUGGACUCGCGGCUUAUCAGCUUGUUGGUGGGGUAGUGGCUUACCAAGGCUUUGACGGGUAGCCGGCCUGAGAGGGUGACCGGCCACAGUGGGACUGAGAUACGGCCCAGACUCCAACGGGAGGCAGGAGUGGGGAAUAUUGCACAAUGGGCGGAAGCCGGAUGCAGCAACGCCGCGUGCGGGAUGACGGCCUUCGGGUUGUAAACCGCUUUCGCCUGUGACGAAGCGUGAGUGACGGUAAUGGGCAAAGAAGCACCGGCUAACUACGU
rnacentral:rRNA from 1 species